GUUUCUCAGUGCAGGUCUUAGAGGCAGCCCCUUAACUAUGGGAUUUCAGAACUACUGAGGGCACUUCCACAAAAGGAGGGAAAAGGGGCCGGCAACGGGAACAAAAGGAGAGGAUUGAGCUUUUGAAAAGAGGAUCAGUUCUUUCGGACUCAGCAGGGUGCAUGCAGCCCCCUCAACUGGGCGUCCUCUUUUGUGCGAGCGAGAGAAAAUAAAAUCAGGUAUGCGCAAUAAACUGAGAGAGUUCCGGGAUGGGGGAUGCCCCAUGCUAGGGCAGAGGGACAGGACUCUUCUGGUGCUGCUGAUCGCAAUGGUGCUGACAGUAAGGGAAGUGCGGGCUUCCUGGGAUCAGAACCCAAUGGAAGUGCUAGGCAACGUAAGGCAGCUGGAGGCGUCUAUGCACUCGGCGGUGCUGUCGGACCUACAUGAGGCAGAAGCGGUGGUUGCGGCGGUGUCGCAGCCCGGCGGCUUCCCAGACUCCCCGGCGGUGGUGGGCCGGGUGUUCCAAAUGUGGGUGCCCAUCAAAGCGAAGAACUCCAGGAGCACAGUAAAGAUCACAGAAGCAAGCAAGGAUGUGCUCCCAGCAUGGUUGCAUUGGGAUGCAGAGAGUGGCACACUUCAAGGCCUUCCUCUAGAGACAGACAAGGGCGUUCACUACAUAUCUGUUUCUUUUUCCAAUGAGAGCCAAGUCUCCCAAAGCCCAGAUGUGUUCUCCAUUGAGGUGCACCCAGAGGAGCAUGCUGAUACUGACCCUUUUCAGCUUGCAAGUCAACAGUCAGCCAGCAAUGAUGUCCAACCUUUCAUCUGUGGCAAUGAGGAGCCUGUUACUGUCCUUACCGUCAUUUUGGAUGCUGACCUCACAAAGAUGUGCUCGAAGCAGAGGGUGGAACUACUUGCUAACAUGAAGAAGUUUUCUGGCAUGGGGCUUCAGCACAUGAAGAUUUUGCCUGUGGUCAACAACCGUUUGUUUGACAUGUCUGCUUUCAUGGCAGGACCGGGAAAUGCCAAGAAGGUGGUUGAAAACGGAGCCCUUUUGUCCUGGAAACUUGGCUGCAGUCUGGAUCAAAGCAGCAUUCCUGAUAUCAGUAGUGUUCAGGUUCCAGCAAAAGAGGGAACCAUGUCCGCACAGUUGGGAUAUCCGGUCGUUGGGUGGCAUAUCGCUAACAAAAAGCCCCAUGUACCUAAAAGGGUGCGAAGGCAGCUCAACAACACCCCCACUCCCAUUCCCUCAUUACUCCCCCCAACAACUUACCCUGAGCCCCCCAUCCGUAUCGUUCCUACACCGACUUCUCCUUCUAUUGCUCCUACCUCAGACAGUUCUGCCCCACCUGUUCGUGGUCCUGUGCCACUUCCUGUAAAACCUACCAUUCGAAACCGAGAUCCCAUUGCCUACACUCCAACCUUAGGCCCCCCUCAGCCAACACGAGUAAUAGACUCCACCAGCACAAUCGCCAUCCAGCCCACCAUGACCAGGCCUGUGUAUGUUGGGCCCUCUGUCACCCCAACAACACCCACAACCAGGAAACCAACAAAAAAACCUGGAAAGAAGCCCAAGACAACUCCGAUACCAAGAGAACCCAAGACCACCACAACCAAGCCACCAAGGCGCACAACACCCCCCGUUAUCCUAAUUGAAAGCAAUAUAAAACCCCAGCUGCGAAACCCAAUUGACCAGGUGAAUGCCUACGUUGGCACCUACUUUGAGGUGAAGGUUCCAUCUGAUACGUUUUUCGACAAAGAGGAUGGAACUACUGAUAAGUUGAGACUCACCUUGCGCAAGGGCAAUGAUGUGGUUGGAGAUGAUUCCUGGAUACAGUUUAAUAGCACAAGCCAGUUGCUCUAUGGAUUACCAGACCAGGAGCAUGAAGGAAAACAUGAGUAUUUCAUGCAGGCAACUGACAAAGGAGGUCUCUAUGCAAUAGAUGCCUUUGAGGUCCGUGUCAAUCGAUGGGGAAACAGUGUUAAGUCACCGGUGUUGUUUACUGCUGUGUUCGAAGGGGAUGCACGUACAGUCACCAGUGACAUUCACAAGAAGAUCCUUCUCGUCAAGAAACUGGCCCAGUCUUUCGGUGAUCGCAACAGUAGCACCGUUACACUGAAGAACAUCAUGAAGGGCUCUAUCAUAGUGGAAUGGACCAACAACAGCCUUCAGCAAAACCCCUGCCCAAAAGAGCAAAUACAGCAGCUGACCAGAAGAAUCUCUAAUAAUGAGGGUAGACCCUCACCACAAUUCAAGCAUGUUAUGGAACCAGAUUUCAAGGCCUUAAAUAUCACUGUCAGAGGCACAGCAAGCUGUCGCAACUACAUGUUUGUCCCGUUAGGUGAGAUCCCAGAUCCGACCAUCUCUCCGGUUACUCCCGCUGUGGGCGCUGGAAGACAGAGCAAUGAUGAUGUGUAUCUUCACACCGUCAUACCGGCAGUGGUGGUUGCAGCAAUUUUGCUGAUAGCGGGAAUCAUUGCCAUGAUUUGCUAUCGCAAGAAGCGCAAGGGCAAGCUGACCAUCGAAGACCAAGCAACUUUCAUCAAGAAAGGAGUGCCCAUUAUUUUUGCGGAUGAGCUUGAUGACUCUAAGCCGCCCCCAUCUUCCAGCAUGCCCCUUAUCCUUCAAGAGGAAAAGCCUCCGCUUCCUCCACCAGAGUAUCCCAACAUGGCUAGUCCAGAGACAACACCUCUGAACCAGGACCUUUUGGGAGAGUACACACCUCUACACGAUGAGGAUCCCAAUGCCCCUCCCUACCAGCCACCACCACCCUUCUCUACGCCAAUGGAGGGGAAAGGAUCCCGCCCCAAGAACAUGACCCCGUACAGAUCUCCACCCCCUUACGUGCCACCCUAAUGUUUGCCGAAACCUCCGGAGCAGGAGGAUGUGGGACUUUUGUAGUUCCACACCAGUGUGUUGUUUCUUUGCAUUAUGGGAUUUUUAGAAGGGGGGUGCUGCAAAUUGGGGUUUGAGGUUUGAAUGUGAUGGGAUGAUUUUGUUAAACUGGACUCUUAAGGAGAUGUGGGAGGGUGGGGAAAGUGGAUAGUCUGCAAAGGACAGCGAAAACAACCUCAGCCUCUGACUACUCUGGUUAUUGCUAAACUGUUGGGGAUGUACCCUCCAGUCCUGGCACUUUUGUGUCUAGAUGGGCUUUUUUGACUAAUUAUUGGUUUUGUUUUGAUUUUGAUUUUGAUUUUCUUUGUUUUUUGUUUCACAUUUUUCUUACUCAGAAUCAAAACUCCUUGCCUAACAGCACUCUUUCUAUCUUCGUUAAUCUUGAAUAAUGUAAGUGGACAAUAAAGCUGACUGCCGGUGCAAAAGGUUUCAUAGAGAAAUUCAAUAACAGAAGGGGAAAAAAAGAAUGGCCUUGAGGGACUUGGACAGCCAUGCAGACAGUUCCGUGGGAUGUCGAUGCAUUAUGGUUUUGCCUUUUAACACAAAAUUAAACUGUUUUUAUUGUUCUUCACAUGUCUAGUUAAAUCACUACAAGAACAGGUAGCCAAAAUGAAAUAUUUGUUUAAUCAACUGUAUAUUUGAAAGUUAUGCUCGAUCAUCUUUAAUUAUUAUAUAUUUUUACUUUUUUUAAUUAUUACACUGCGAUAAACACUAUUUUCCACCCCUCAAAAAUGCUAAAAACAUAUUAAAUCACUGAGUGAACAUGUCACAGUGUGUGUUCUGACUUGAGAUCUGUGCUAUAUAGUUUCUUGCCAGCCAUGUGAAACUUUUGGAGGCGGUAAUCUCAUGAGUGAGUCGUCUAUGCAGAUUCUGCCUUUGACCUGACAGGCCGGAGCCUGUUAUUGAUCUCACUUAAUCAUAUUUCCCAUAGGCCAUGAAGAGAUCUUGUGAUUUAAUUGGUUGUACAGGUUGACGGGGUCUUCGCAUCCUUAAUUCUCUCAUAAGACAGCAGGAACCAUGUUCAGCACCCUCAAGUCAAAACCACCAAUAUAAUGUUUCACCAGUUAGACUCAAGCUACUGACAGUCAUUGAGACGGAUUUCUCAAUUUCAAAGACUUGAUUUAAAUUAGAACAAGCUCGGGUUUCAGAUGAUUUGUAGUUUCUUUGUUUCUUGCUUUUUCUUUUAUUUUUAUGUUAUGUUUUUAUAUAUAUAUAUAUAUAUAUAUAUAUAUAUAUAUAUUUCAGUGAUGAUUAUGGAGUAUAUGCCUUGGAUCCACUCUAAAUAAUUCAAAAUAAAGACUGAAGAUUUUGAUAAUGGUGACCCAUCCUCUACACAACGGUUUAGAAUUCAAAAGUGACAUUUGCAAUAAUAAAGGUGUGGCAUAGUCACGGCUGGUCAGUAUGAGUAGUGUGCAAGAUCUGUGUGACGCAGUACCUCCUCAAGUCUCACAACCCCAGAAUUGUUUUGCCACGUAGGAGGUUAUGUAUGGAUGUAUUUGUGGGUGUGAUCGUAACUUGUAUUUUAAUGCUUCCAUUUAUCCUUUAUAGAUUUAUCAGUAAACCAAAAUCCAUGGAGGUUUGAUUUGAUGUUUCAUUUGUACGUACCAGCAGGUUGAAGAUGGAAAUGGUGCAGGAAAAGGUGCAGUAGGAUUGAGUGUACAGCAAAAUCAGCAACGAAAUGCUUAUUGUCUUUUUUGUGGCCUUUUCUAAUGGAUUAUUUUGUUUCGUUGUUAUAAUACGUUAUUUAUACAUUUAUGUAGCAAUGAUUUUGUCGCAGAAAAGCUACUGCUUUCUCAUUAGCACAACACUGAAUGAAUAUUUUAGGUGGAAAAACCAAAGAUGCAGAUUACAAAAUGGCUGUCGUUUGCUACCGUUAAGUCUGCUGCUUAAGUUCAUGUUGUCUUUUUCAUUUUUUUUUCUUACAGUUUUGAAUAAAAGCAAUGAUGAAUAAGUAAAAAUAUGAUAGUUUCCCCUCCGUCCCUUUUAUUUUAUUUUUUUCUUAUAGAGAUAAAGCUCAGUGUUGUAAGUCUGUGUACAUGUAUUCAAUCUAUAUGGUUAAUUUCACAAACAAAAGUUUUAUCUAUUUUACAAUACUAUUUUUUUUAUUCUAUUUGUUCAUUCAGUCAGCCUUAAAUAUAUUUUUAGCCUUCACAAAACAAUUUGAUUAUACUUUCUGUAUGAAUAAUAACUAAUCCUUAAAACCGGAAAUGGCACAAGUGGGGGAAACGGUCAGUAUGUUUGUGUGUGUGUGUGUGUGUGUGUGAGUUUUUCUUUUCAUUUUUUAUGUUUGUUUUUAACAUUUUGUCUGAGUUUUAACAAUGUUACAAAGUGUGCAACCUGUAUUGCAAAGACAAGCCGAGUUGACAAAAGAUUGAACAUUUAAGCAAUGUGUUUAUAAAGGUGCUGAGGUCGACCUUGGGUCCAGGUAUUAGAAAUGACAAUGUGUUGAGCGAGACGCCUUAGAGGUCAGUUGCGGUGAAGAAGUGCAACCUAGUAAAGAAUACAACGCCAACGUAAUGACGAAAAACACUAUUCAUUCUCUUUCAUGUUACACAGCGUUGGUUAAUUUAUGGCACCAAACACUGUAUGUUUGAAUCUUGUAUUAAAAAGUGUUCUCAC